CUGGCUCACAACGAACGUUUGAGGCGUGGCUAAGACAUGCAAGUCGAACGAACAAUUAUUUGUUAGUGGCGGAUGGAUGAGUAAUGCAUAGAUAACGUACCCCGAUCUUUGGAAUAGCCGCGGGAAACCGCGGGUAAUACCGAAUAAUGUCCUUCGGGACCAAAGCUCCGGCGGAUUGGGAGCGGUCUAUGUCGUAUCAGCUAGUUGGUGAGGUAACGGCUCACCAAGGCGACGACGCGUAGCGGGACUGAGAGGUUGGCCCGCCAUAUCGGGACUGAGACACUGCCCGGACCUCCACGGAGGGCUGCAGUAACGGAUAUUGCGCAAUGGGCGAAAGCCUGACGCAGCGACGCCGCGUGUAGGACGAAACCCCUCGGGGUGUAAACUACUGUCAGGGGGACGAAAGAUCUGAUCGAUCCCAAAGGAAGGCCCGGCUAACUUCGUGCCAGCAGCCGCGGUAAUACGAAGGGGCCAAGCGUUGUUCGGAAUCACUGGGCUUAAAGCGCAUGUAGGCGGACUACCCAGUGUCUUGUGAAAUCCCUCGGCUUAACCGAGGAACUGCAGGGCAUACUGGUAGUCUUGAGACAAGUAGGGGUGCAUGGAACUCUGGGUGGAGCGGUGAAAUGCGUAGAUAUCCAGAGGAACGCCAGCGGAGAAAUCGGUGCACUGGGCUUGUUCUGACGCUGAGAUGCGAAAGCGUGGGGAGCGAACAGGAUUAGAUACCCUGGUAGUCCACGCUGUAAACGAUGUAUACUAGGUUGUGGUAGAUCUGACUCUAUCGCAGCCGGAGCAAAAAUAUUAAAUGUACCGCCUGGGGAGUACGGUCGCAAGGCUAAAACUCAAAGGAAUUGACGGGGGCUCACACAAGCGGUGGAGCAUGUGGCUUAAUUCGAAGCAACGCGAAGAACCUUAUCCUGGGUUUGACAUACUUGGAUGCCCUUCCUGAAAGGGAAGUAAGCUGCCUUCGGGUGAAACUAGUACAGGUGCUGCAUGGCUGUCGUCAGCUCGUGUCGUGAGAUGUUGGGUUAAGUCCUUAAACGAGCGAAACCCUUGUCGUUAGUUGCCAGCGCGUUAUGGCGGGGACUCUAACGAGACUGCCGGUGUUAAACCGGAGGAAGGCGGGGAUGACGUCAAGUCCUCAUGGCCUUUAUGCCCAGGGCUGCACACGUGCUACAAUGGUGCGGACAAACCGACGCGAGACCGUGAGGUGGAGCAAAUCGGAAAAACCGUGCCUCAGUUCGGAUUGCAGGCUGCAACUCGCCUGCAUGAAGUCGGAAUCGCUAGUAAUCGCAGAUCAGCUAUGCUGCGGUGAAUGUGUUCCUGAGCCUUGUACACACCGCCCGUCAAGUCACGGAAGCCGGGAGUACCUGAAGUCGGGUAGCUAACUUCGGAGGCGCCU
rnacentral:rRNA from 1 species